UAUAGAAAAUUUAACAAUAAGGUUUAUUUUGUUUUAAAUUAAAAGCCAUUAGUAUUACUAAAUAAUAUAUAAUAACAUAUAUGGUAAGUUAAUACAUAUCAUAUAUGGUAAGUUACUACAUGUCUAAAUCUAGAAAAUUAUGCAAGAAUAUAUGCAAUCCAUAUAGUCUAUAUUAUAGAAAUAAAAGUUCAACUAAUCCUUUACUAGUAGUAAAGGGUUAGUUGAACAAUUAUUUCUGUAAUAUAGACUAAAUGGAUUAUUUAUAGUCUUUUUUAUCUUUAUAUUUUAGUUAUAUGAAAUGUAGUAACAUACCAUAUUAGUUUAAAUCAGUUGUAAAAUUAAAAAUGUUAACAUCUUUGAUAGGUAUAUUUAUUUAGGUUAGUUACAGCUAAGUUUACAUGGCUAGUUAAUAUGCUUUUACAAAUUACAAUUUUUAUUAAUUCCAAGUUAAACAUGUGGCAUCCAAUAUCAUAAACUAAGUUUAUACUGGUGUGUUUAUAUUAUUUCAGAAUUUUUUGUUUUAGACACAUGGCAUUUGCUAUUCCACUGUAAGUUAAAACUAGUUGUAAAAUUAAAAAAUUUAUAUUGGAACUUCUAUUUCUUUUAACAUUCAUGUUUAUUUAAUUGAGUUACAACUAAGGUUAUAUAUCAGUUAUUUAUAGAAUUUGCUGCUUUAGAGGCGCGGCAUUUAGUGUCACAUUGCAGGUUUAAAUUGGUUGUAGAAUUUAUAUUGUAACUUGCAUAUUUAUUUAGUUAUUAAAAUCUAAGUUUAUAUUUGAUGUGUUUGUAUUAUUUUAGAAUUUACUGUUUUAGACACGUGGCAUGUGGUAUCCCACUGUUAGUUUAAAUUAGUAAAUUUAAAAAAAUCGUAUUUUAACUUGCAUUUCUUUUGGCAUGCAUAUUUAUUUAGUUUAGUUAAGACUAAGUUUAUAUCACACUUUUUUAACUAUUAUUCUACUAUAUUCUAUAUUCACUAUUAUUUUAGAAUUAGCUGUUUUAAACAUGUGACAAGUGGUAUGACACUGUAUUAAUGUAUGUGAAAUGUAUAGAGUCUUUCAGUUACCAGAUUAUGUCAAGGAGUUGACAGCAUGGUGUCGAUUUAAAGUGCGAACCUGUGUACGAGUAACAACAGUAUUCAAAACCAAAAUAUUAAACCAACCAAAGCAAAACUAGCGACCAUAAACUAAUAUCUUGGCAUUGGUUUAUUUUAAACAUCUAUUAUAUAUAUGUGUGUGUUUUAUAUAAAUGUACUAGCUUGAGUAUAGUGUAUUAAAAAUAUUUUUUUUUACUAUUUUUAUUGUAAU